GACCAUGUUUUCAUUUUGCACUCGAUCUUUCAAAUAAUGCUGCCAGCCCUGAUCUUUAAUAACAUAUUUGAAUGUGCUACUCAGUCUGCAGCUGAUUAAUCUUAUAUUUUUAGUGGUCACAAUAUAUUGAUUACAAGAGCAAUUGCUACACUAAUUUUGCUGCCUGUGCCAGAAUGUUAAUAAGGAAACUCAAGGUCUGUGUUGGUAUUAUAACCAGGUGGGCCCUCCAGAUAAAGCCUUUUGGGGAAAUAUUCAUGAGUCCUAAAAUGUGGAACACACAAGUGUCAAUAAUGCUAUGCAAUGACGCAGAAAUCAGCAACAAAAGAAAGAAUAUUCAGAAAAGGUUGAGAGGAAAUAUUUACCUGGUAAGAGGGUAGAUAAAAGAAGAAGAAAAUCAAGACCAAGGCAAGGACAAAUUCAGAGUUGUGGAGCCAUGGCCAAGCAGUCAGCGAUUUGGACUACUGGUGCAAACUUGAUAAGCAAAGUGAAAGAGAGAUGAGCUCAAAGAUGGGGACGUCAUAGUCUAGGAUGGGACAAUUCAGGAGCUGUACAAGCACCUUGUAGUUCCUACGUGCUCCCUUGGACCAAUCAACUUCAGCAGUACUAUAACAGCCAAAACACUACCAAAAAUAAUAACAAUA